GUCAAGACUGAGUGAAGGGCAGUGUGGAUCUGUUGGCUCUAAAUCCAAACUGGUGAGGUCCAGGCUGACUGGGAUAAAGUCUUUGAUGUGCUGGAGAACCAGUUUCUAAUGGCACUUCAUCAGAAUGGGGCAAACCUCAAGGAAUUUCUGAACGGGGUGUGCUGCAUUUCCCCGCAUGCCCCAUGUACAGUAGAGGGAACAGACAUCACAAGUCCCGACUAAUAGAUCUGAUUGUUUCGAAAUGUCUGUGCAAAGCCUCUGAGAGGGAGCAGACAGACAAAAAAAGCUCACAAGAUCCCUCUGUGAUUGAAUAAGCACAAGGAGGGAUUGGUUUUGUAGCUGCCAUAACGAGCCUGCAGAUAUGACUGAAGUGGUCGCAUCUAAAUAGGCAGAACAGACAGACGGUGGCGGUUUGGCCCGAGAGCGCUAAGAAGAAUAGCAGAUGCUGAAGAUUAAAGGGCAGCCAGGCCUUCACUGGAGGGGAGACAGCGACAGCUUUUCUCUCCAGUGUCUCCUGUCAUUCCUGCUGUAGACAGGCAGGCAGACAGGGCAACCUGGUCACGGCACGACAGGCCAACCACCGGGAUCUACUGUUUCCGCUGGUGUGUCUACUGUCGCGGUUGUUCCCCUCCUACACACACACAACCACUACACAUAAAAAUAAAUAGACACCACUGGUCCCCUCUGGAGAGCUCAAUUUCUCGGGAUCACAUGGCGAGCUCUGGUUCCCAGGCGCUCCUCACGCGCACUGCAGACGUAGACGAUUCCUUCACACAACCUGACUCCUGACCCGCCGUCAUUACUGGGGUCAGAGGACCAGCAACCCCUCGCUGCCGCGGGGGGGCUGGGUGCUGCUUUCUCCCAAGACUGCAAAGCUACUGGAGGGAGAGGGAGUUUUGUUCCUGAAAUCUUUUUUCUUGAGGCCAAAUGUCAAACGUUUAAACAUGUUUCCACUGUUCAGGCUCGUUAUCGAAUUAGUGAGUAAAGAUGAGUGAUUAGAAGUUUGUGUGCAUUAGGAGUGUGUAUGCGCAUUUGACAAAUGCAUGAAACCAAUGUUGUUUUUCACCUCACAUUUCGACAUACCUU